AUGGCCGGAAUUGUCAACAAGGAGUUUCCUGAGUUGGCCCAGACAGGGCUGAACUACCUGUCAUGGUCCUCGGACUGCGAGAUCUUUCUCCAGGGCAAAACCCUCCUGAGGGCGAUCGGUAAGGGGGCCCAGCUGGCCGUCACUGAUCCCAAGUUUGAAACUGAGAAUGCGCAGGCUCUGCACUUUCUCCGUCAUCACCUGUCACCUACUCUGAAAGAUGAGUAUAUAUCUGAGCGUAGUGCUUUUGGCCUUUGGACCGCUCUUAAGCAGCGGUUUGAGCGGCUGAAGUACACUGUGAAGCCACGUGCAGAGGCAGAGUGGAUCCGUUUGAGGUUUGCGGACUUCAAGACGUCCUCACGGAACUACCGCCAGGGGAACUACAUGAGGUAUUCAGAGUUGAUUGACGUCCUCCAGGUGGCAGAGGCGCAGGACGAGGUUCUCAAAAAGAACUUUGUCGCGCAACCACUUGGGGGGAGUUCUCGCCAGGAGGUGAACGCUCUCAAAGUCCGCAAGCCUCAACAGAAGAAGAGGGGCCGGAAGGCGGCUAAGCAGAACAAGCCGGGCAAGGGAGGGCAAAGGCCUCAGGACUGCUUCCGUUGUGGCUCAGUGGAGCAUUUCUCCCGCCAGUGCCGCGCACCACAGGAGGUCGUUGAUGCAUAUAAGGCUCGGAAGGCGCGUGAGACGCACCUCGCCUUGGUUCAGGAGGGAGCACCACCGGCGCCCAUGGCGGCACCCAUAGAGGCGACCCCCGUGGUGCCCAUCGUGGCAGCUUUGGCGGUCUCUACCGACGCCCACGUCGCCAUGGAGGUUGACCACAUGGUCGCCUCGGCGGCGCCGCCACUAGACAUUGAUGCUGCCUCCAAGAUGAUUUCUAAGGAGAAUCAGCUCACUAGUAUGGAGAUUGCGGUGGAAGUGAAUGGCUUCUUCACCGAGUCCACUUAG
rnacentral:rRNA from 1 species